UGGGGGAAAUUUUGAACCUGGGUUCUCAUUCCUAAGGUAUUUUUCGAUGUAUUUUUCAAUACUUUAGGAAUGAGAACCCAGGUUCAAAAUUUCCCC
rnacentral:pre_miRNA from 1 species